AACGAACGCUGGCGGCAGGCCUAACACAUGCAAGUCGAACGCCCCGCAAGGGGAGUGGCAGACGGGUGAGUAACGCGUGGGAACCUUCCCUUUGGUACGGAAUAAUUCACCGAAAGGUGGACUAAUACCGCAUACGCCCGAGAGGGGAAAGAUUUAUCGCCAAAGGAUGGGCCCGCGUUGGAUUAGCUAGUUGGUGAGGUAACGGCUCACCAAGGCGACGAUCCAUAGCUGGUCUGAGAGGAUGAUCAGCCACACUGGGACUGAGACACGGCCCAGACUCCUACGGGAGGCAGCAGUGGGGAAUAUUGGACAAUGGGCGCAAGCCUGAUCCAGCCAUGCCGCGUGCAGGAUGACGGUCCUAUGGAUUGUAAACUGCUUUGUACAGGAAGAAACCCUUUCACGUGUGGAAGAUUGACGGUACUGUAAGAAUAAGGAUCGGCUAACUCCGUGCCAGCAGCCGCGGUAAAGUGACUACUG
rnacentral:rRNA from 1 species